GGAUAUAGCCAAGUCGGUAAGGCACCAGAUUUUGAUUCUGGCAUUUCGCAGGUUCGAGUCCUGCUAUC
rnacentral:tRNA from 1 species